GCUGUGCGUCGGCGCUGAAUUUCCUUUUUGUGUGAAUACGAGCAGAACUUUUCGAAACAAAACCGUAGAUGCCCAGCAGAGAAACCUGAAAGAACACGAGUGCGUUAUAUGAACGCUGCUCUGUGAUGAAGAUGUCUCUUCUUAAAGAGGUACCAGUGGACGCCUUUCCACAGGAUUUUGCGUGGGGAGCUGCAACAGCUGCUUAUCAAAUCGAAGGGUGCUGGGACACGGAUGGUAAAGGCCCCAGCAUAUGGGACACGUUCUGCCAUGCUAAAGGCAGAGUAUUUGAGGAUCAAACAGGAGACGUGGCCUGCAACAGCUACCAGCUUUGGGAAGAAGACCUGAAGUGUAUCCUUCAGUUAGGCCUCACCCAUUACCGCCUGUCCUUAUCUUGGUCCCGACUGCUUCCUGAUGGAACCACAAAUUAUAUCAAUCCAAAAGGUGUUACAUAUUAUAACAAAGUGAUCAAUGACCUAAUUGCCAAUGCUGUUAUGCCCAUGGUCACCCUGAACCACUUUGACUUGCCCCAGGCCCUGGAGAAUCGUGGUGGAUGGAAAUCUCCAGAGAUUGCAGAUGUUUUUGAUUCAUAUGCUAGGUUUUGCUUUAAGACCUUUGGGGACAGAGUGAAGCUCUGGAUUACAGUGAAUGAGCCUUACGUGUGUGCUAAACAUGGGUACGAGGAUGGCCUUUUUGCUCCAGGGCUCAGAGAGCCAGGGACCUCUGUCUACCUAGUGGGCCACAACAUGCUGCGUGCCCACGCUAGAGCCUGGCAUAGUUACAAUGCUCAUUUCAGACAUCUCCAAGGAGGGAAAGUGUCCAUAGCUCUUAAUAGUGACUGGGCUGAGCCAUUAGACCCGAGCAGUCCCGAGGAUGUAGCAGCCACACAACGAUACAUGGACUUCAUUCUGGGCUGGUUUGCCUGCCCUGUGUUCUGCACAGGGGACUAUCCAGAGACCAUGAGGACCAGGAUUGAGGCCAGAAACCUGGAACUAGGGUUCUCUGAGGGCCCUCGGCUGCCAAAGUUUUCAGAAGAUGAGCCCAACCCUUUAGGCACAGCAGAUUUCUUUGCACUGAACUACUACACUUCACGCAAAGUGAAGGAUACGAGUUCUCAUCCCAGUGAGCUCAGUUUCAAAGGGGACCAGGGAGCAGAGGGUGUGAUGGAUCCAUCAUGGCCUAUUUGUGGGCUAUCCUGGCUCGCUGUAGUGCCAGAAAGACUGCGCAAGUUGUUAAAUUACAUAAAGGAGACCUACAACAACCCCGACAUCUACAUCACUGAAAAUGGCUUCUCACAGAUUGGACCAGUUGAACUUGAAGACGCUGAGCGCUGCCAGUUUUAUCAGGACACUCUUCAGGAAGUAUCUGAAGCUAUCAGAGACGAUGGUGUGAGUGUGAAGGGGUAUUUUGCCUGGACACUCAUGGAUAACUUUGAGUGGGCAGAAGGCUUCAGAGCGCGAUUUGGCCUCUUUCAUGUGGACUUCUCCACAGCUGAGCUGAAGCGCACCGUUUACCGCUCUGGUACAGAAUAUGCAGCUGUGAUAUCCAGACAUCGUACCCACAUCAAGCUGGAAAAGACCUAAACACAGAAGUCAGUGUUCUGGAGGCAUGUCUACACUGAUGAGAACAUUUUAAUAGUAGUGAAAAAGGAAGAAAAAACAAAAUCACACUUUUUAAAUAAUUCAUAGUUUAUGUGAGUAAUAAAAAUAAAAAAAAUUUCAUAUUUACUCAGUCUGGCUUCAAACCAGCGCACUCAACAGAAACUGCUCUUAUAGCAGUGGCCGAGAAGGUCCAGUCAGCAAGAUCAGCCUAUCUGUCAUCUGUCCUGAUUCUUCUUGACCUCUCGGCAGCUUUUGACACGGUCAACCACACAGUCCUUCUGGACGUCCUCACCAACCUUGGAAUCAUGGGCUCUGCGUGGAAGUGGUUCAAGUCCUAUCUGGAAGAUUGCUCAUACCAGGUUUCCAGUCGGAUCUCGGCAUGUCUGUCUGACAUCUCUUCAUGGAUGGCAGCUCACCACCUGAAGCUCAAUCCUAGGAAGACUGAGCUGCUAUUCAUCCCUGCAACUACAGGUCCCCAUCAUGAUCUUGCCAUCUCAUUCGAGAACUCUCUGAUUGUCCCAUCUGUAGAGGCAAGAAGUCUUGGUGUGGUUCUGGAUGGCCAGUUAUCGUUCUCGACUCACAUUGCAAACCUAACUCAGUCAUGCAGAUUUCUCCUGUACAACAUCCGGAGGAUCCGACCCUUUCUCACUCGAGAGGCCACCCAGGUACUAGUGCAGUCUCGUCAU